rnacentral:rRNA from 1 species
UAGAGUUUGAUCAUGGCUCAGGAUGAACGCUAGCGACAGGCUUAACACAUGCAAGUCGAGGGGCAGCGGGGAGGUAGCAAUACUUCCGCCGGCGACCGGCGCACGGGUGAGUAGCACGUAUGGAACCUGCCCGUAGCAGGGGGAUAAGCGGAAGAAAUUCCGUCUAAUACCGCGUAAUAACUCCGAGAGGCAUCUCAUGGAGUUUAAAGGGUAAUACCGGCUACGGAUGGCCAUGCGGCGCAUUAGCUAGUUGGCGGGGUAACGGCCCACCAAGGCGACGAUGCGUAGGGGUUCUGAGAGGAAGGUCCCCCACACUGGUACUGAGACACGGACCAGACUCCUACGGGAGGCAGCAGUGAGGAAUAUUGGUCAAUGGGCGCGAGCCUGAACCAGCCAAGUCGCGUGAGGGAAGACGGUCCUAUGGAUUGUAAACCUCUUUUGUCGGGGAGCAGAAGGCGCCACGUGUGGCGUUCCGAGAGUACCCGAAGAAAAAGCAUCGGCUAACUCCGUGCCAGCAGCCGCGGUAAUACGGAGGAUGCGAGCGUUAUCCGGAUUUAUUGGGUUUAAAGGGUGCGCAGGCGGAAGAUCAAGUCAGCGGUAAAAUUGAGAGGCUCAACCUCUUCGAGCCGUUGAAACUGGUUUUCUUGAGUGAGCGAGAAGUAUGCGGAAUGCGUGGUGUAGCGGUGAAAUGCAUAGAUAUCACGCAGAACUCCGAUUGCGAAGGCAGCAUACCGGCGCUCAACUGACGCUCAUGCACGAAAGUGUGGGUAUCGAACAGGAUUAGAUACCCUGGUAGUCCACACAGUAAACGAUGAAUACUAAUUGUUCGGGGAGAAUGAUCCCUGAGUGAUACAGCGAAAGCGUUAAGUAUUCCACCUGGGGAGUACGCCGGCAACGGUGAAACUCAAAGGAAUUGACGGGGGC